GUGAAAUGGCGCCCGCGCAGGGCUGCCCACUUCAUCCUUACCCUGUGAAAACGGUCUCUUUUUAAACUCAGAGUGGCGAAUGUAAAUCAUACUAAACAAAACA
rnacentral:misc_RNA from 1 species